rnacentral:lncRNA from 1 species
UCAAAUUUUGACUCGAAUGUGUAGUUAUGGAAGAUUUCAGAUGAUGAAAUUCCUUGUAGUCAUGAUAUUGAUGCACAUACAGAGACAAACAUGAUGAUGACUAUUGCUUAGCCUGUUAUAGUAAUGAAAAUUUUCCAGAUACUUAUGCAAUGCCAUUGACCAUUUGCCAUGCUAAUGAAUAUGGGAAAUCCCAUCACAUGUUUUGAGAAAAAUAGUCUUACCACCACAUGCAAGACGAUAUUGAGGGAC